rnacentral:snRNA from 2 species
GUGCUCGCUUCGGCAGCACAUAUACUAAAAUUGGAACGAUACAGAGAAGAUUAGCAUGGCCCCUGCGCAAGGAUGAAAUGAGGACAUGAAGUAAAGUUAU